AUAAACAGAAGGGCAACCAUGGCAAUCAUGCUCGAGGGUCUUCUUCGCUGCUUUUGGUGUAUUUUGUGGCAGAAGUACAGCGCCACUUACAGGUCCGGCAUAUGUACUACAGUGUCUUCAGCGCUUACGAGAGGUCUCGUGCGGAAGUACAGCGCCACUUACAGGCCCGGCAUAUGUACUACAGCCUUUCCAGUGGUCUUGUGUGAACGGACACGUUAAAUGAGCUGAAUGCGUGUGAACGGAAUACUUUUUUGAUAACGAAUUCGGUCCAUUUGCGUUUGCGCUCCCGAGUAAAUGGGGUCUAAAUGUUAACUUUUGGAAUUAGUUGAGGCAUACUCUCAUUCACCACGCGGACCUUCAGCCUGUCUAGAGAUUUGAAUGGGCAACUUCUCCAGAGGGCUGUUUCUUUAACUUUUAUGCUCCUACCAGUCAAGGACACCCAGGCCAUCUGGAGCUGUGUAGGACCUUUGGGCCAGUGGCGACUCUAGCACCACUGAAAAAAUGAAAUGGCCCAUUCUGUUUGGCUAUCCUGAUUAAGACUGGCCCACUGGGUCCACAGAGGUGUCUGUGUCCAGAGGGCAUCAAUUUAUAUCAUCUGAGUCACAUCUAUCUUUGUUGUCCCAUUCACUUUAGUACGUUACUCUCCUCACACACCACGGUAACACAUAUCAAUCUUGAUGUUAUGAUUUGUAACACAUUGCAAGGUAAAUUCACACAUUAUUAUACUGUAUUUCUGAGAAGAAACCCCUGAUGCAACAUCAUCAUUUUCAGAUCUCAUCUUGCGGUUGUUGAUUAGAGAAUUUAGUAACAUUUGACUAGGGAGUGUUCUGACAUCCAAUGCUUCAGACAGAGAUGUAUCAGCUCAGACAGCAACAUCUACCUCUGUUUGCAAACUAGAGACCAACUACAGCAUUUCCAUCAUCACCUGCAAAGUAUCACCUGCAAAGUAUCAGUGCUGUGGCAGGCUUUUCAUAAUGACUGAUGUCAUCUCUGGCACUUUCAUUUACUGUUCAAAGUGAUGGACAAAUGCCCAGAGUGUGCUGAAGGAGCGUGUCAUCAAAAUGUCUGUUGUUUCUGGCACUUGACAUGCUGGCAGGGUGUCUGUCUCUUUCUUGCUCACGGUUAGGCGAGAAGAUCGAUUAUGAUUGGCUUCCCAGCAAGUGGUCAAGCUGACUUGGUAAUGUGUGUUGACAUGGAGAUCAAUUGAGCCUACUCAAGCAGAUGGUAUUAAUCAAGCAAUGCAUAACAACUGUUUGUGAUUAGCAGCCAAUAAAGGCUCAUUCCCUCUCAUUAAACAAAACACCCAGCGGUGGCGCUUGUGUGGCAACGAACUAGUCUUCCUACCAAACUAUCUCUGACUGAUGUUGUUAUGGCGAUUAGACAAGCCAGUGUCGUGCUUAGUCAAACCUCAACCUUUGCACACGGCUUUGGAUGUUACUAUUAUGCAAUCGAAAGUGAAACUUAAGCUCGCUCCAUUGCGGAGAUAUUCCCGCGAGAGUGCGGAAAACUUACAUUUAUUCAUUUAUUUCAAAUGUGAAAUGUUACCAAUAUACUCACGGACCACUAGGGGGCGCUCACGGACCACCAGUGGUCCGCGGACCACACUUUGAGAAGCACUGGGCUAGAGCCAUAAAGUUAUGAGAUAACUGGGUUAGGCAAUGGUCCUUUGGCUACCUUGUACUGAACAGACUCAUUUUCUCUACCUUCAUUGUUAUGGCGACAAAACGUGUCCGUGGGCGGACGGAUGGACACAGACAGACGGGCACAUUUCUCAAAAAAGGCCUCUAUUUUAGUUCCUGCUACAGAAGGGUCUCCAGGAGCAUCAUGAUGACACACAAGCUGAAAACAAUACCAGCAUCUCGGUCUGUAAUCCUUUCCAUUUCAUUUGAGCAGUGUAAAUGUAUUGUUUCUACAUUAGAAGCAGAAAAAUCUAAUCAGUUUAUAAAAUACAUGCUACUGCUAACUUUAACAUCUCACUCUCCCUGUUUGUGCAAACUAUGCACACUACUGAAGCUUGCUUAGCAUCCAGCACUUUCUCUAGCCCAUUCAUCAAAAGGACCAGUGCUCUUGAGAGUGACAAGAUUUAUACACCAUGGAAGAGAGGUGGAGAAUUAGCCCAGAUUUAUGAGCACAAACUGCAAUGGCAAGGCACUGGCAGCUGCUACUUGACAUUUGAAAUAGAGAAUGUGAAAGAAAAUUGGAGACGGGGGAAACAGGAAAUUGGAAUAACAGAGAGGUAGAGAGGACUGACGAAUAAAUGAAACAUGAGCUGGUCCAGGAUUAAAAAAAAGGUAUGUGAUUGGGAAAGCUAAUUUGUAUUGAAUAAGGCAAUAUCACAGCAGUUUGGGUAUUAUAGGUGAACAGAACAUUCAUUUUAGGUUUGUGUUUCACAUUGAAUAAAAUAGUGUAUAUUGAUCUAUAAUAUGAAAGGGUAAUUAAUAUAGAUCCUACUGAGAAUAAACAUGUGUGGUUGAUAUCCAAAGGCAAUGAGGUGAACUUCCCUCGACCUGAAAGGACUUGAUGGGUGGACUACAAUGCAAGAUAUACAGUCAAGUCCCAGUUCAGGAGCUUUCCAACUUUCUAUUCACCACUGUCACUUUAGGGUUGAUAACAUGGUCCCAUUCCUUGAGAAAGUAAGACUGUAUACAUUGAUUCUCAGCGAUUGCUGGGACACCACACUUUAGCAGAAAUUAUAGUCAUGAUAGGUUUACAAAACAUCAAUUCAGACUAUAGCUGAACAGCAGGGCAAAAAAUAAAUGCUGUUCGGAAAUCACAAGAAGCGCUGGAAAGCAUGUCAGUGGGUCUGUAUAUGAAACAAAAAUGUAAACAACUGAAAAGCACAAGAGUACCAUCAUGCAAAGAAUAAUUAGUUGGUUUUCUGAUUUGCAAGUAAAAAACUAUUACUUAACAAGCUAUUCUCUAUGCGUAAAAGUUCCUUCCACAUCCAGAGUGAAAUUGGUCCAGUAAUGCAUUUAUUCAGAAGAGAUGCUGCCAUCUCACUACCUUCAGGAAAUGAAAGAGCCUUUUCAUCAGACCAAGAAGAUGGCUGACACAACCCACGUUUACUGGUUCUAUUCGUACAUAGCACUUCUUAAAAAGACGGUAAUUUCCCCUAAGUAAAAAAUUGUGAACAGGACAUGAAUGCCCUGAAAGGCCACGUCAUAGUGGGAAGCUGCCCUUCUCACCUUUGCUUAGAAGGCAUGCUGGGGUGGCUGGAAGAUUAGACAGGUGAUAAAAAGCAAAGAGAGUUUUUCUGGCCGUGGCAGUAUACGCAGUCACAUCCACUCUGAGUGAACUGUGUUGAGGUGACACAGAACCACAGAGGACAGUCAGUGCAUGGCCUUGCGGCACACAUUCACAUCAAAACUAAGUCCACAUCUGACUCCAUUAGUCUGCCAGUUGCUUGCACUCUACCUACCUUCAUCAUGAUUCCCCCACAUCCAGUGUGCAAAUAAAACAUCAGAGGUUGGGGACAAUCCCCUGCCAACGCUAGUCAGACACGUCUUGGCUUGAUGGAAAGAGCCCCAGGAGAAGGCUAGAUGGCAUUGGUCUACAGUUCUUUGCUACUGAAAGUUGUUGCUGCAAGGAUUGUUUUUUGGGGAUGACAGGACGAGCGUAGGAGAGCCUUCAUUGACGCAGAUCAUCUCCUUCUGUCUGAUGCUCUCUCAAGAUCAAGAUAUUGUUAGGUCACAAGACACAUCUUAACCUACCUAAAAUAGACCAAAUCUCUCGCAUUGAGAUAAUGGAAGUAUAUCAACCUGAAGACUUCCCUGGGUGUUUCUUUAUGCCAAGAUUUAUGAGAUGAGGUAUCAUUAUUUUAUUCUGGCAGCCAGUAUUGAGUCAGAAACAACAGAGUUAAACCAAUAAAAACCUGUAAGAGCAGGACAGCAGGUCCAGAUCAGAAUCUAUCCAGCAAACGUCAAUCACACAGCACACAUUCUACAGAUCUGUCUCUUCUAUGGAGUCUUUAUCCUUUUGUGAUAAUAGUCUUACAUAAAUUGCUACACUUGAUUUUACUCAAUCAUCACUUGAUCUUAGCAUAAUCACUUGGGGAUGGCAUCAGCUGAGGCACAACAGUCUCUUUUAAUGGAGUUUUCCUUAUGGGUAGUGUUGUACUGUGUGCGUAUAAAAUAUAAGAACCACGAACAUGAAAUGAUGAAGCGGUUUCUGAUGUGUUUGACUAUGAUCCCUCGACAGUAGAAAACCCCAAGAUGAAACAUAAAGACAGUGAGUUUGGGAAUAGAUAAAGGCUCAAUUGUAGGCUAUUGAGUCUGUUAAAGCCUGCAGGCAUUCUUCCUGGAGUUUUGGAGCCUGACUGUAUUAUGUCAGAUGUAGGCUGUUGCAUCAACAGGAAGUUAUAUCUAACUUCCCUCUCUUAUUGCCUGAGGGGGAAAAUAUAAAUGAACCUGAACAUGUGUUAUUCAUUCCAAGACUGUCGUCAAAAAGGCAACCACAAGCCUGCUCAGUGGUUAAUGUUUAAUAGACUUAAAGGACAUGAUUGCGUUUUGGCACUCUAUCAAAUUUGUGAAGCAGCCAUAUUGAGUGCCGAGAUAAAAUGUUUGGCUCCAUACUCCUAAUGACACAAAUGACCUCCAUCAUAAGUCCAUGCCUACUGAAGUAACUGCAGCUGUCCUGUUUUUAACAAAAUGUCUUGACGUCACAAGGACACUAAUUAUGUUUUUGAUAUAAUCACUUCACAAAAGCUCUCGAUGAUUAGCUCAAGUGGCUUCUCUAAUGAAAAUGAUGUCUUGCUUUGUUAACCUUGUGUGGCUUUAACAGUCAGGUGUUGAACAGUGUAAGACGUGGGCUGCAUACUGAAAAUAUAUUUUUUUCCAUCAAGAAUAUAAACCCUUAGCCUGAAGAACUCCAUCAAAUCUCCUCAGCGUUUAUGCUUUUAUAACUGGGUUAUGGUUGGAUGUGCUUUACUGCCCACUUUAUUGUUGCUUUAUGAAAAUCAAUAUGUCAUUUUAUGGCAAAUCUAACAAAUACUUUCAAUAAACUGUUAAUGGGUCAUCUAAUCUCCUACGGCCAAUUACUUUAGGAAAGAGGAAGGGAGCAGUCUUUCAAGCCUCAUUUACAGGACAGGAUCAUGUUGCUAAUGUUUUAAUUUCUCUCUAUUGGGAAUCAUUUCUUAAUGACAGUCAGCUGAAAAGCUCUUGCAAGACAUUUGUGAGAAUCAUCGCUGUCAUUACUCAGUCUAACCAAUUGUUAGUGUGUCACAGCUGUAUGCUACAUUAUCUUUUUGUUCAUAUCGAAAUAGUGAUCGAUGUCAGUCACUUUGAGAGCAAAUGUUUCUAACUGACACUGCACAGUUGAUGCAACUUAACAUAAUGACAUAUGCUCUAACUUGCCAUGCAGUCUGAGAGAGAUGAGUCACUCCUUAUUUUAUAGUCAUCUCAUUUACACUGUGAUUGUGUUGAUAAUAAGAAGGAGAGGGUGCAGAGCGUUUGGUCUGAAUGCUAAUGUUUGUAUACACCUUGUCUUGUGCUUUCGAGACAGCCUAAACAAUGCACAACCCUCAUGGGAGCUCUCCAGCACCACAUUCAUUUACAUUACACUACAGGCCAAAACCACAUAAAUCAAUCUGUCAAUGCUAAGCUACUUGGGCAUUUAAAUUGGCUUAAGUUUAGCCCGCUAGUAUGUUACAAUGCCAUCUGUACAAUGUGAUAAUUCAAACCAAUUGAUCUGGUUACAAGCAUUUUGCCCCAUAAUUCACUGUUUUGGAAAUGGAGCUAAUGUAUGUAGACCGAGAACACAAUAGUUUCAUCUCUGUGGGAUCGACACAGAUGGGUCAAACAUGCUGUUUUCAUUGCACAAUUCUGCCCAUGCUUGCUGUGAAUAUAUGAGUGUUGGUUUUGGAAAUCAUUAUUUUUUAAAACCAGCUUCCUGGUAGUUGCAGCAAUGCCAAGCUGUAAUAGAAACCUGGAAAAGAGCACCAGCUCCACAUGGUCUUUUAAAAUAUUAUUAAAGCUAAUAUAGGGAUUCUUAUGUUUAGAUGUUGCGUUGAAUAGGUAUGUUGCAACAGUAUUAUAUAAUCAGGAGACUAAUGGCAGAGUGAGGGCUACAGGGAAGAAUUUUGCAUGCUAAAACCUCUGGCUUCUAUAUCUCUAUUCAUCCCUCCUAAUCUUUAGUGUGCCCUGGGUAUUUUAUAAUGCCAUGAUAUACCAUGGCGAGGUGUAUGGGCUCAAGGAUUUUGCAGUAUGUUGAUAUCAGCCAAAAGGCAGAGUUGAGAAGUGGAACAAUUAUUUUGCUCUGCAUGUAAAUGGCUGCUUUAAUUACCUUCCAACAGCUGCAUAUGAAGAUGACACAGAUGACCUUUAUCAGCCAGUGAUCUAAAACUUACCAGGGAUAUGCUGUUUUAUCAUUCUGCCUCCUAUUCACAUGUUUACCUCCCUUUGUUUAAAGGGAUCGACACUGUCUUGUGAUUUAUGAAUUGCUUUCCAUAAGCAAGGGAACAAAGCAGUCAUAAUUGUUGAUUUGUUGAUUAGAUUUAUUUUCAGAGAAAACUCAUAACUCUGCAGCGCAAUGUCAUUGAUUGUUUCGCUAUUUAUGUGGUGCUGUUAACUACAAUUGCACUCAUUCUACAUCUCAAAAUGACCAUAUGUAAUGAAAGUAGGUUCUUAAUAUGCUGUGGCGUGUGCAGCUGUCACACUAUCAGCUGCUAAGAUGGAGCCAACUAAACGAGAGGAAGGACAGAUAAACAAAAAUACAAUAGCCGUGUUUUCUAUUGCAAGCUAUUCAUUCUAAACAAGGAUUUGGAGAGUAGAGUAGAAAUAAUAAAUUGAGGAAUCAGUGUGGUGAAGGUCACGGGGAGUAACACAGGAAGGAGCAAUAGUUCCAAACAUAAAAUAGGACACAACAUUCACUAAACAAAUGUCAAAUUGUCACGAAGCAAGCUGGAUUUAUGAAAGGAAUUAUGUUGAAAGCAAACAGUCUGAUAAAGACUUGGCCCUGGAGUGGCAUUGUAUAGCAAAAUGAGAAGUCAUAAUGUCACUCUUUGAUUCUGCAAUGGCCAUUAAAUGUAAUGUCAGUGAAUGUGUAUGUAUACCAUUUCAUGUUCUCAUUUCUGUAUAGUGGACAGAAAUUGCCUGUAGCAAAGCACAGAAUCAAUCCCAAUAAUAUUGCAUCUUUCAGGGUGUGCAGUUUCUCAGACAACUUGAAUGAAAUGCACCCUUCACAUCUCCAGUUUAAGACAUUCAAUUUCCUGCUGCUUCUUGGGGCAGAAUACUGCAGUGAAAGAUCAAUGCAAAAUGACUGGAAAAUUGCUAAUGUUAUUUACAUCAAAGUGAGACUGGAGGAGACCAAUUAUGCCACUGAUUCAAGGCAAUAUUCCUAAGUGAGUUGUCCCUUGGGUGAUAACCAUAUAACAUUCUGAUAUUAUUAACAUUCUGAGACCCACCCACCAUUGUUUCUUUUAAACAUAAACUGAGAUAGCUUUACAGGAGGCAUUUGAUGUGCUGUAGAGUUCAUGUAAUAUUGUCUACAAUUAUGUAUUUAGAAAUGUAUGGUGGAAUCCUCCUAAGCCUAGAAGAUGCACAAAUACAUGCAAAUACUAUUUUGUUGUGAGGGUAAAACAGAUCUAAGAGUGCGGCAUAGAAUGUGAUAUUACCAUUUGAUGUCUUUGCUGAGACACAGCUAUGCAUCUUGUGGCGGCAGCGUGGUUGUAUAUUUCAUGUUUCAAUUUGCAGUUGGAGUUUACCUCUGUCUCAAGGAAAGAGCUGUGAGAUGAUCUGUUACUGUGGAGAAAUCUGAUUUUCUCGGCGAGAUGGUAUACGGAUCCAGCAACAUGUGUAUUGUAUCUAUUUGUGUGUGUGUGUGAGAGAGAGAGAGUGAGAGAGAGUGUGUGUGUAUGUGUGCUGGAAAUUGUUAGGGAACACAUUCUUUUCUGAGGAGAGCAGACUCAUAUUGGAAAAACAAUAAUAGCAACAUGUGUGACAAAUGGCUGCAGCGUCUACACAGGAGUACAUAAAAGAAUGAAGAACAAAGCUGAAGCAAAUAGCUGGGCUGGACUUUUUUAAACAUUUGCUGUUGGUAUGACCACAUUUGAUUGGCAAAGGCUGGUAAUCCAUGGCAACUUUGCACUAUCAUGCCUGCAUGCAUAAGUGAAGCAUGGGCCAAUCUCAAAUGAAACACAUUUCAAUCAAGCCAUUUCAAAUCAGGCAAGCUGAUGAAAAUGGAACAGCUUUCAAAAAGCCAUGGUGCAUCUCCCUGACCAACAUGAGUGUUUAUUUAGUUAUGAUGCUACCAUUAACUACCAAUUGAGAAACUGCUUGUUAGAAAAUGUUUAAACAUUCAAAGUUCCUAAUGUCAAAAGGAUCAAAUCUCUAAUGACUCAGAUAAUUACAUAUGAGUGAAAAAAGAUUGGUCUAUCCAAGUCCUAGAACCACCAAGUGAAUGUCACAUAAAAGCAUAUUAUAUAACAAGUUUUGUUUUCUCACCACUUCAAUAUAUCUAUAGCUUUAGCUUUAAUGAAAAUAACAGAAUAAAUUACAACAGCUAUAGAAAGAAAGAAAUACACAAUAGGUGUAUUUAUUGACUAAAAAAACGCAUUUGACAGACCAUAACCUAUUAAUUUCGAAAUUACAUAGAUAUGGUGUGAGAGGAGUAGUUCUAGAUUGGUUUAAAAGUUAUUUAGAUAACAGAGAACAAUAUGUACAAUUUGCUGGUAGUACAUCGGAGUGUAUGAACAUAGAAUGUGGUGUCCCACAGGGCUCGGUUUUAGGGCCUAAACUUUUAUUUUGUACAUCAAUGACAUAUGUGAAACGUCAACAUUAUUGCAAUGUGUGUUGUUUGCAGACGACACCAAUUUUCUUUGUUCAGGAGAUGAUUUAAACAUUUUAGCAAAGUGUAUUGGACAUGAAAUGGUCAAACUUAAAAGAUGGUUUGAUGAAAAUAAGUUAACCCUAAAUUUGAAUAAAACUAAGUUUAUGGUUUUUGCUAAUAGACAAAAAAGAUGAAAACAUUUUACUGUCCAUUGAUGGAGUUUUUAUUGAAAGGGUUUCUGAAUUUCGAUUUCCAUUUGUGACACUGGAUGAUAAUCUGACAUGGAAAUCACAAAUAGCACAUGUUAAAAGUGUCUAGGAAUAUUUCUGCUCUAAACAAGGCAAAGUAUUUGCUAGAUUACAAGGCAUUGAGAAUGUUAUACUGUUCACUCAUUUUGCCAUUUUUUAUUUAUUGUAUAGAAGUUUGGGGCAACACGUAUAUGACCAACAUAAAGCCAUUGUCAAUAUUACAGAAAAGAGCAGUACGAAUAAUUCAUAAAGCUGAUUCAAGAGAACACACCAACCGACUGUCUUUUAAGUCAGGACUCUUGAAAAUUCAAAGACAUAGUUGAGUUACAGACAUUAUUAGUAAUGCACAGGGCAAAAAGCAGAAUGUUACCAGUAUAUUUAUAACAGUCAUUUGUUUUUGGAUCAGACAAGGAAGACCACAGAAGGAAAUUAAAUUUUAAGCAUCCUUAUGCAAGGAAUAUUCUAAAGCAAAUGUGUAUUUCGGUGGUUGGUGUAACAUUGUGGAAUUCUCAACAGAAGGAUCUAAAGAAUAGUAUAUGUAUUUUUUCAGUUAAAGAAAUUGUAUACAAAUGGGACUAUAUGAAGCAGAAUGUGAAUACGUCUAUGCACUCUGGUCCUGCAUUGGUAAAUAUUGUUGAUGUCUUUGAUGUGAUGUCUGUUCUUUAUUUGCAGGUCCCAUUGUUAUUAUUAUUAUUAUGCGCCGCUUUCCACCUUCUUCUCCAGUAGGACUCAGACUGGAAUUACUGUAUGAAGAUGAAUGCUUUGAUCGAACACAUUAUGUGGAAAAUCCGUCUCCCACUCCAACCUCCCUCUACCUGCUCCCUCCUCCUGCCACCCUGGAAGGGCGGAGCCUAAUCAAUAAAGGCAGCCAGCUCACCUGUGGCACAUCCUUUCCCCCAUGAACAAAGAAGCUGGCUGGCCUCAUGCAACUCCUGAGCACCAAUUGUUUGUCUGAGGAAAUGAUCAAUCAACCAGACAACAAUUAGGAAUAACAAGAAUCAACAAGUUACAAUAAAAAGAAUGAUCUGGAA